CCUACGGGAGGCAGCAGUGGGGAAUAUUGGACAAUGGGCGAAAGCCCGAUCCAGCCAUGCCGCGUGUGUGAAGAAGGUCUUCGGAUUGUAAAGCACUUUAAGUUGGGAGGAAGGGUUGUAGAUUAAUACUCUGCAACUUUGACGUUACCGACAGAAUAAGCACCGGCUAACUCUGUGCCAGCAGCCGCGGUAAU
rnacentral:rRNA from 1 species